rnacentral:rRNA from 1 species
UGGGGAAUUUUGGACAAUGGGGGAAACCCUGAUCCAGCCAUCCCGCGUGUGCGAUGAAGGCCUUCGGGUUGUAAAGCACUUUUGGCAGGAAAGAAACGUCAUGGGUUAAUACCCCGUGAAACUGACGGUACCUGCAGAAUAAGCACCGGCUAACUACGUGCCAGCAGCCGCGGUAAUACGUAGGGUGCAAGCGUUAAUCGGAAUUACUGGGCGUAAAGCGUGCGCAGGCGGUUCGGAAAGAAAGAUGUGAAAUCCCAGAGCUCAACUUUGGAACUGCGUUUUUAACUACCGGGCUAGAGUGUGUCAGAGGGAGGUGGAAUUCCGCGUGUAGCAGUGAAAUGCGUAGAUGUGCGGAGGAACACCGAUGGCGAAGGCAGCCUCCUGGGAUAACACUGACGCUCAUGCACGAAAGCGUGGGGAGCAAACAGG